GGGGGGGGGGGGGGGGGGGGGGGGGGGGGGGGGGGGGGGGGGGGGGGGGGGGGGGGGGGGGGGGGGGGGGGGGGGCCCCUGAAGGUUUGGGGGACCCUGGGGGGGAUCCCUGGGGGUUUGGGGGUCUCUGAGGGGUCCCAUCUGUGCCCCCCAGGAUUUUAUGCGCUGCCUCAUCGGGGCUCUGCUCUUCCUCAUCACCUCCCUCAUCGUCAUCGUCGGCCACCGGGACGGCGCCGGCAUCGCAGGAGGGGUGAGGGGCAAUUUGGGGUCCAGGGAGAGUUUGGGGGUCUCUGACCCCCUCAGGUGUUUGGUUCCUGGAUGGCGUGAGGGGGAAUUGGGGGUACAGGGAGAGUUUGGGGGUCCAGGGGGAGUUCAGGGGUCUCUGAUUCCCCCCAGGUGUUUGGGAUCCUGGAGGGUGAGGGGCAAUUGGGGGUCUCUGACCCCCCCAGGUGUUUGGGUUCUUGGAUGGGGCGCAGGGGGAACUGGGGGUCCAGGGGGAGUCUGGGGGUCUCUGACCCCCUCCAUCCCCAGGUGUUUGGGAUCCUGGCCGGGGUCCUCCUGGGAUACGACGCCUUCAUCACCCUCCCCACACGGCAGGGCCACACUGCCGCCCCCACUGAGUCCCCAGACGGUGCCUGAACAACCCCACAACCCAGCAGAGACCUGCCCAAACCUCCCCCGCAGGGCGACCCCCAGCCUUAAAUUAUUGAGGGGUCCCGACGCUGGGUCCCCCGGGGGGGACAGGGGGAGAUCUGGGGGUCCCUCAGGGCUUCCCCUUCCCCAAACGCCUUCGCAAGUGCCUUGACCUGCCCGUGCCUCAGUUUCCCCCUGGGGAGACCCCCCCCUUCCCCCCAAGGUUAAAGGUGCCCUGGCCCCUCACGGGGUUUGGGGUGCCCGCCUCAGUUUCUGGGGUGUCUCCGUUAAUUUUUGGGGUGCUCCCCCUCCUUUCCCCCAGCCCGCGGGAGGCUUUGGGGGCGAUACAUUGGGGAAUAAAGGGUUUUUAUUACUGCAUUAGCAGUUCUGGUGGGUCUGUCGGGGGAUGUCUGAUCCUGAGAGCCAUAAGGGACCCCAAACCCCGCAGGUUACAGCGUGCCCCAAACCCGCCCCUCACGGCGGGGGGGGGGGGGGGGGGGGGGGGGGGGGGGGGGGGGGGGAAACCCGCCCCUCACGGCUCCCGCCUGUGGAAUAGGUGGGAAAUCCUCUCCCCUUGCGGAAAACGGGAGGAAACUCCUCAUGCCCUCAUGGAAAAAGGGAGGAAAUCCUUCCACCCCUCAGGGAAAAAGGGCGAGACAUUCC
rnacentral:lncRNA from 12 species